CGCUCCCUCCCCGAAAGCAGCACUGCGGCAGCAGCACCAGCAAACUGAUCAAGGCGAGAGGACUGAUCAAUAGGUGUAUUGAGCACUGUUCAAGGUCCCUUGGGAUGCUCCUGGUGACCUUCACCCCUCUGAGCCUGGAGAGCGAGGGGAAAUCUCCCCCUGGCUUGGACAGACGAGGGGCCAAAGCACAGGCUGUGCCUCAGGAGCAACUGGAAACCACCUUCCCUGGAGGAGCAGAGGUUUUUCUCCUGAGAGAAGAAAGCUGCCCAUGCACGAACACCCUCUCCCACAGACAGCUCUGGAUUUGUGGAGCAGGGAUGUGGGGAGAGGCCGGUGGAGUCUCCAGCAGUGAUCCUCUACCCUGGGAGUGUGCCCGGGAAGUGGGGGGCUGGGAAAGGGGGGAGAAGGUGCCAACCUGGAAAAGUUCAUCGAUAGAAACAUAAAAUUAAAAUAAUUUGCGUCAAUUCUGCUGAGUGGCUGUUAGGCUUAAUUGUUAUUGACUCGUCACUGUAAUUAUUAAGGCUUACACAGAGCUGGGCUGGCAAAGGAGGUGGGUUUGGGACCCCACCACACUCAGAGUGUCCCCCCACAUCCCUGGAGUGGGACAGGGAUGUGUUGGCUCCUUGGUUCUUGGAAAGAGCCCCCAAAAGUCACCAGCAGAGCAAAGGGUGGAAUUUGACCCAUUUUUGGCAGGAAGAAGGGGAAGAUGGAGAAGGGAUGAAGGAGGGGAAAACCAAAGGCAGAUGGGAGGAACGGGGACGACUGAGGAGGCUCCAGAGAGACCCCGUGGAUGCUGCCAGGCUGCUGGCUCGGUGUGGGGUUGGGUGAUUUCCUCCCCUCCUUCCCCGGCCUUUGUUUCUGCUGCCAGCACAGACCCCAAGCAGCAGAGGAGGCUGAUCAAUAGGAACACGGUGUUUG
rnacentral:lncRNA from 1 species